rnacentral:rRNA from 1 species
ACGGGAGGCAGCAGUGGGGAAUAUUGGACAAUGGGGGAAACCCUGAUCCAGCGACGCCGCGUGAGUGAAGAAGUAUUUCGGUAUGUAAAGCUCUAUCAGCAGGGAAGAUAAUGACGGUACCUGACUAAGAAGCCCCGGCUAACUACGUGCCAGCAGCCGCGGUAAUACGUAGGGGGCAAGCGUUAUCCGGAUUUACUGGGUGUAAAGGGAGCGUAGACGGAAGGCCAAGUCUGAUGUGAAAACCCAGGGCUCAACCCUGGGACUGCAUUGGAAACUGGUCAUCUAGAGUGCAGGAGGGGUAAGCGGAAUUCCUAGUGUAGCGGUGAAAUGCGUAGAUAUUAGGAGGAACACCAGUGGCGAAGGCGGCUUACUGGACGAUAACUGACGUUGAGGCUCGAAAGCGUGGGGAGCAAACAGGAUUAGAUACCCUGGUA